AACGGGCAGACUAGAAGUGCCGGUAGGGGAGAUUGGAAUUCCUUGGUGUAGCGGUGGAAUGCGCAGAUAUCAGGAGGAACACCGAUGGCGAAGGCAGGAUCUCUGGGCCCGUAACUGACGCUGAGGAGCGAAAGGGGUGGGGAGCAAACAGGCUUAGAUACCCUGGUAGUCCACCCCGUAAACGUUGGGAACUAGUUGUGGGGUCCAUUCCACGGAUUCCGUGACGCAGCUAACGCAUUAAGUUCCCCGCCUGGGGAGUACGGCCGCAAGGCUAAAACUCAAAGGAAUUGACGGGGACCCGCACAAGCGGCGGAGCAUGCGGAUUAAUUCGAUGCAACGCGAAGAACCUUACCAAGGCUUGACAUAUACGAGAACGGGCCAGAAAUGGUCAACUCUUUGGACACUCGUAAACAGGUGGUGCAUGGUUGUCGUCAGCUCGUGUCGUGAGAUGUUGGGUUAAGUCCCGCAACGAGCGCAACCCUCGUUCUAUGUUGCCAGCACGUAAUGGUGGGAACUCAUGGGAUACUGCCGGGGUCAACUCGGAGGAAGGUGGGGAUGACGUCAAAUCAUCAUGCCCCUUAUGUCUUGGGCUUCACGCAUGCUACAAUGGCCGGUACAAAGGGCUGCAAUACCGCGAGGUGGAGCGAAUCCCAAAAAGCCGGUCCCAGUUCGGAUUGAGGUCUGCAACUCGACCUCAUGAAGUCGGAGUCGCUAGUAAUCGCAGAUCAGCAACGCUGCGGUGAAUACGUUCCCGGGUCUUGUACACACCGCCCGUCAAGUCAUGAAAGUGGGUAACACCUGAAGCCGGUGCCUAACCCUUGUGGACGGAGCCGUC
rnacentral:rRNA from 1 species